CAAUAAACUUAAAUAUUAAAAAAAAAAAACAUAUUACAAGCAAAUCAAUCAAUCAAUGGCAAGCAGUAAUAACAAUAGUAAUAGUAGCAAGAGAGGAGGAGGAGACGAAGAAUUGAAAGAAAUGACAGAGAUAAGCAAAACCCUAAAAGAAGGGGAGAGAAUUGUGGCUCCUAGCCGACGACCCGACGGUACUCUUAGAAAACCCAUUCGGAUUCGGGCUGGCUAUGUCCCCCAAGACGAAGUCGCCAUCUACCAAUCCAAAGGUGCCCUGUGGAGAAAGGAAAUGCAAUCUCAGGAAGUGCCUCCUGGUUAUGAUACUGACCCCCAUACAAAACCAAAAACUAAGUCCGUUAAAAGGAAUGAAAGAAAGAAGGAAAAGCGGCAUCAGCAGGCUGCACUUGAAAAGGGAAAAAAUACAGAAGCAAUCGAAGAUGGAAACAUGGUAAAGGGGGCGCUUCCAGAUGAAGAUUUAGGCCAUGCAUCUGACUCUGUUAAAUCGUUGACAUCUCAGAUGAAUGAGCUAGCUGUUUCUUCAAAUCCCGCUGUAGUUGCUCCUUCCUCGGACUUGGCAGAUGCUUCAAAUAUGGAGUCUCCGGCUCAAGAUAUUGAUAAGAGAAUUCGGGCUCUCAAAAAGAAGCAAACAAUGGAAGAUAACAUGCGCAUUGUUGAUAUUAAAAAAUCUCAGUAAGAAUCUGAAGAUUUUACAGGUUUGAAAUUAGUUUCAGGCACAAUUAACAAAUCAAAUUGGCAUUUUCUGCAUAUUGGAUGAUGUGAUUGCUUUCUUUAAAUGUGCUUGUUUUAUUAUCAUGUUUUCUCAAAGUACUUUUCUCUUUUCAACAUGUGUAUUGUGGGCUGUCUCUGAAUGUUUUUUACAAAGUCAUCCCCGAUUAUAAUGGAUAGAUGAAAAAAACAAUGACAGUUGAGGAAAAGUUGUAGAAACCUAUACAAUUGCUGAUGAUUGUGAGCACAAGAAUUGCAUGUCCUCUUAAAUAGUCAGGGCAGGACUCACAAUUUUGGGACCAAAAAAAUUACUACUAUUUCCUCAAGGGAGAAACAAGUAUUACUACUGUAAGCAUGUUACCUUUUCUCAUUAAAAUCCUAAGGUGAGUAUUAUUAAAGAUACAUCAAGCUGUAAGUUUCUUCAGUGUACAUCUGUUUUGCCUUAAUGAAGGAUGAACCAUCGUUUAUGAUUGCACAAGGGCUGAUGACAUAUGUGCUCUAAACUUGUAUUAUGCUAUUAUUAUGCAAAAUAACCCGUGAAGUCAUUGCAAAAGGGGGGAAGUAAUAAUCUUGCUCCGUUUGCAAAAUGAUGAACCUAACAAGUGUUGUGAUGAUUACUGAUAAAUUUUUUUUAUAAAGGGCUCUGAUGAAUGCAAAAUUCAAAGUAUAGUGAUCACCACUUUCUCUAGUUCCGAGUAUAAAUUUUAUUUUGGACUGGUUUUCUUUCUUCCCUGUGAAUUAAGAACUGCCUCGUUUUGGAGAACUGGGCAUGGUCCAUAUGAAUAUUUAUAGCUUUGUUUUUAAUGGUGCAAAUAUUAUUUCUUAAAAACAAAUCCAGUUCAUGUAUUUCUCGAGGUCUUUCAAAAAAUCACGAGUUUCAUCUUUGGUAUAAAUAAUCAAAUUAUAAGUUCAAUCACAAAUGAGCGUUCAUUUUUUGUAUUUUGGAGGUUUCUAGCAUUUUCUUUUGUUGCAAGGAUGUAAGACUGUGUUGCUUUAAUCCAAGAGAUACAGUUUUCUAUGGAGUUACCAUAAAGAUUUGAUGAUUAAGUUGCAACAAAUGCUGGUCAUUUUUUUUUGAAGAACAUGGUAAAUUGUGUUGCAUGAAUGAUGUAAAUUUGAAACAAGAUCAUCUCUCCAGUCCCCAUAGGCUCAUUCAUUAAAUACGAUGCAUAAAUUGAUCGAGGAGUUCUGGUUGCAUGGAACCACAUACUGCACCUCCUUUUCAUGAUCUGACAAUUUUUGCCUUACAUUGUAAAUUAUACACUAGCAAUUUAGAAGAUAUUGCACAAGAGUGGGAUUUUUUUUUUGAAAAUACUGGAAACUUUAUUAGAGGCAGAAAAACAGAGAUAUAUUUACAUCAAGACAAGGAUCAAGAAUGUGAGUUCAAAAGUUGCUGUCAUCCUUUUCUCUUUUUGGUGUUGAGGGGGCAGGGGUGUUGCUGGAGGGCCUGGGAGGUUUGGUAGAGAGCUGUGGGAACAAAUUUAUGGUGGUUGGAGGGCCUGAAGGAGGGUAGUGGAGGUGGAUUUGGUAUAUGAUGGCUCAGAAUGGUGCCAAAGGAUCCAUAUAGUCGAUUCCAACUAGUUUGGUAUUGAGGCUUGGUUGUUGUAUUGCAAGAAGAUUCGACUAGCAGAGGCUCAGCAGCUGAAAACUCCAUCACAGGAUAUGAAUCCAGAGCAGUUGGAGAAGUUGGCAAAGUUAGAAGGCUGGCGCCAAGAGCUGAAGCUUUUGGAGGGUAAAAAGGCUGAAGAGGCAUCAUCAUGAAUGGGGUUUCGUUUUAGUGUGAGAGAACUGGGUAGUCUUCCGUUUGCUUUUUCAAGAAGAUCCAAA